ensembl:lncRNA
UGGGAACCUAAUAUAUGUUCCGCGUUUCCAGCGGCGCUUGUUUACGGCGGACUGACCAGCUAGCCGAGGACACGAACCUCCAACAAAGGCAAUGGCAACAGUUCUCUAUAGAGGAACAUAAACCAGCAGCUGAAACCUCCUCGAGCCUGGGCUGCUCCAUCAGGCAGAUGGUGAUGAACCAGAUGGACUCAAUAGAUAGCGAUCCAGCUGCUGAACAAGACAGUGGAAAUCUUCGGAAACGGCACAGAGAACAACGCAUAGCUGGAACUGUGCAGAAGCUUCAAGAGAUGAAACAGAGGAUGGUAGAGGCGGAGAAGAAGCAGAACCAGUGGCUCUACUGGAGGACCAUCCUCCUUGGCAUGGGUGCCGGGGCAGCCCUCAUUGCUGGACUCACAUUCACAUUCUGGACCUUCCUCUCACAUUGACAGACUACAAUCAUUUUCACAAUCAGUAUUAUUAUUACUGACGUUUAUGCUAUAUAUAUUUCCAAAGGCAAUGAAAGUUAUUUGUCUGCUAACAUUAAUAAUAAAUUAGGUAUUCAAACCCCUGUACGUUUCAGUUCCAGAUUAAGGCAGAUGAUAAAUGAUUCCCAAAUAAUACACAAAAUACAGCAAAAAUGUAAAUGUCAUGGAGAAAGUGGAGAUCCUCUCUGGAUAUUAACAUCGCUUUGUCUAAGGGUCAUAGGAUAACGUUAUAUAGCUGUUUUGCGGUUGCCAGUUAUAUAUAACUUUAACUCUAAUGCUGGGCCAAUUUCAAUAAUUUUUGUCCCUAGUAAAACAGGAUAACGUAAAAAAAAUCCUGAAGUUUCCCUUUAAUGGGGGGAAAAGACUCGGAGUGUUUUGAUGUCCACGUGAGCACUAUUUGAUCCAUAAGAAGAAAGUGAAAAUGACAUCACACCACCCAGGUUCUGCCCCCUAAACCAAGCAUCUGUUGCCCGGGUUCUUCACCAAUCAAAGCUUUACAGGAUUUGAGGCCAUCUUCAAAUGUUUUCAAAAAACAAAA